CUGGGCGCAGCCUGAUCCAGCCAUGCCGCGUGCAGGAUGACGGUCCUAUGGAUUGUAAACUGCUUUUAUACAGGAAGAAACACUGGUUCGUGAACCAGCUUGACGGUACUGUAAGAAUAAGGAUCGGCUAACUCCGUGCCAGCAGCCGCGGUAAUACGGAGGAUCCAAGCGUUAUCCGGAAUCAUUGGGUUUAAAGGGUCCGUAGGCGGUUUAAUAAGUCAGUGGUGAAAGCCCAUCGCUCAACGGUGGAACGGCCAUUGAUACUGUUAAACUUGAAUUAUUAGGAAGUAACUAGAAUAUGUAGUGUAGCGGUGAAAUGCUUAGAGAUUACAUGGAAUACCAAUUGCGAAGGCAGGUUACUACUAAUGGAUUGACGCUGAUGGACGAAAGCGUGGGUAGCGAACAGGAUUAGAUACCCUGGUAGUCCACGCCGUAAACGAUGGAUACUAGCUGUUGGAAGCAAUUUCAGUGGCUAAGCGAAAGUGAUAAGUAUCCCACCUGGGGAGUACGUUCGCAAGAAUGAAACUCAAAGGAAUUGACGGGGGCCCGCACAAGCGGUGGAGCAUGUGGUUUAAUUCGAUGAUACGCGAGGAACCUUACCAAGGCUUAAAUGUAGUUUGACCGAUUUGGGGYCAGAUCUUUCGCAAGACAAAUUACAAGGUGCUGCAUGGUSGUCGUCAGCUCGUGCCGGCAG
rnacentral:rRNA from 1 species